AAUGCGGAAGUCGCCGAUCAAAACAAUUCGUAUCUUUUGCCUCAUUUAAGUGGCUAUUGGCAUUGAUGAAGUACUGACUUUUCACACUAUCGUCAGUCUAGUGUGAAAAUUGGCCCACCAUCUAGACCAGGACCGCCACAGCUUGUAAAUGCCCUAAAAAUGAACAGGAAUUGACCUGUAAAUGCUCACAAGUGCUAUUAAUGAGGUCCAAAUCAGUCAAAAUGGCUAGCGCUGCAAAUGGGCGCCAGUGAGCUAACCUAUUCUGAUGUCAAUUCAGAUAAAUGAACGAGUUUCUUCACGAUGAGAGGAUGAAUGAACAGCUAUCAAAAUUGUGACGUCCAUGAUGCCACUUUAUGAAGUUAAUUCGCGACACGGAAGUGAAACACAGACCGGAACAGGAAACGGAAAACGGAUUUGUUUGGCGUGCGUGUUGGUUUGUUUGUAAACAUCUUUUUGUGCGACUUUUCGCACGAUCUAAAUAGUUGAAGUUAGGCCAGCGUCAACUAAGAGACGUUUGGUUGAUUACAUGGACAAAAGUAUUUUCUUUGCUGCUUUCUUCCCGCCGUCCGUCAACCUGCACAGGAAAAGUCACGACAAAGAGUUGCUUCCACGUCUGCUGAUGUCGGUCAACCUGCCCAACAUAAGGAAACAUAUACUGGUCACUUGUUUCCAUGACAGGAUCGGGGAGGAGCACCCGGACGCCCGCUUUUGGUAUGUGACACCACCUCCAGGCAACCGACAUUGGCAUCCUGUCAAACUGUCAAAAAGAAUAGCUGUACCAAAGAUGGACUUGAUGGCAGUCUUUCAACGUCAGGCACAAAGACUUGAAGGAAAAAUGAGUAAAACAUUGCUUGUCGAGGUGCAGGAAAUUAGGUUUUUCACCUGAGGAAGCCGAGGUACGGUGAAAAACUCACAUUUUCCAACAGGAGCUUCCGUUGGAUGAGUCGUGAAGCAGCGUGGACCUAAUGCAGAGAAGACCCAAUUUGUCUCACAGGUGGAGGAUCUGGCAGCGUGAGCGGGUCUGCACACAAGGAAAAGCGGCAGCUGACAUCAGAGAAAUUCUUAUGCUGCAGCGCCGUCUGCUGGGUAGAAGCAGGCACAGCAAGCGAGAAGCUUGCGCAAACCUAGCGGACUCUGCCUCCCACGUCGUUCUGGAUCAAAUCCAACAAGUGGCUCUCGUGACUUCACACAAAAAAGGGGAGAAAAAAAAGCUGUCGGAACUGCGCAUUGCAAGUAGUGUCAGCCUUGCCUGUUCACCUGCUGAAUCAAAUUAAAAGACAAAUAGAGAUUAGGACAUGUAGUAUUUGCUUGUCUCACCUGUGAUUAACGUGGCGACAGAAAAGGAAACAUUGUUCAGACAGUCGAGCCAUUUAAAUAAAAACGUCAGCCAUUUUUGGGGUAAAUCACUUUGCCACUUACAUAAAGAGGAGUCUGUGGAGAGAAAGUAGACAAUUUACACGGGUAUCUUUGUGGAGUUAUACUGAAUUUUAGGUACUUACCUCCAGCCAAACGGCACUCUUUCUGCACAGAUAUCGGAAAUGUUUGCGCGCCAGGCUCCAGCUGCACGUGCCCCCCUCUAACAUUUUAGAGAAGGUUCUUUCGAGCUGUUGGCACGCUGAAAACGUGAAUUCAGAGUGGAAGUGAGAAAAAAACAGGAUGUGAAAGAACAAUUGGGAAUCCUCAUCUUUCAAGCGUGGAGCGCGGCAGUCGACAGGAUGCUGAUAGCAAAUCAAAGAAAGAAUGAGUGGCUGAGUGCCUAUUUACUUCCCGUUUAUAUACGUUUCCGGCAAUGAGGUAAUCAUUAAAAAAAAAGUGGCCACGGAGAUAUUGAUACUACUCCGAGUAAUUUUUGUUUUAUUUUUCUUAGCAAUCCUAUCAGCGGACAUUGGAUCAGUAGUCGAAUGGUUUAAGUCAGGGUUGACUAAAUCCGGACCUCGGUGCCACUUUUCCUGUCGUGUUUUCCAUGUCUCCCUCCUCCAACACACCUGAUUAAAAAUAAUCAGGAUUAAGUAAGGCUUUUUUUCUGACAAAAACGACCACGUAAAGCUGUUUUUCUUCAACAAAGGACCAUGUAGAGUCUUUGUAGACUUUUUUUUUUCUUUUCAAAAAAUGACCAUGGAUAGUAAGCUUUUUUUUUCUUCAAAAAAACGA